ensembl:lncRNA
CGUGCGUUGUGUUUGUGUGAGAGAAAGUGUGUGUGUGUUUGUAUCAGAGAAAGCUGUGCGUGUGUUUGUAUGAGAGAAAGCGUGCGUGUGUUUGUAUGAGAGAAAGCGUGUGUAUGAGAGAAAGCGGUGCGUGUGUUUGUAUGAGAGGGUUGUUGUGAGAGAAAGUGUGCGUGUGUUGUUUGAGAGAAAGGCGUGCGUGUGUUUGUGUGAGAGUAAGUGUGUUGUGUGAGAGAAAGUGUGCGUGUGUUUGUAUGAGAGAAAGUGUGUGUAUGAGAGAAAGCGUGUGUGUGUUUGUGUGAGAAAGUGUGUGUUAUGAGAGAAAGCGUGUGUGUGUUUGUAUGAGAGAAAGGU